rnacentral:lncRNA from 1 species
UUUCUAGCUCAAUAAAUGAUAAAGCAAAUGCUAUGGGUCAUCCGAGCUACACAACAGACAUGGAUUGAUAUCAGCAGCAAUAAAAGCUUGUGUUGACAACAAGCUUCCUCUCCUCAACUCCCGAUUCCGCUUAAGAUGAGCAUAGAUAGAAGGCGGAUCUAACUCUUUUAUGGGUGCCAUUGUCAAAAUAACCCAAGUGUCACUUGAGUUUCGGUUGUACAAAUUAUGCGUAAAAAAAACCUUAGGUGUCACGUUACCCCUAGCCGUAAGGCAAGGUCUGUCCUUGAGCUAGUGCAUAGCAGAGGUGCCAAUGCCAAAUCAACUGUUACUUACGUCUCACAAUGAAGACAAAGCGGAUUCUG